GACGAAGGUGGCUAGCGUUGUUCGGAAUCAUUGGGCUUAAAGAGCAUGUAGGCGGCCCGGUAAGCGUCUUGUGAAAUCCCUCGGCUCAACCGAGGAAUGGCUGGGCGAACUAUCGGACUUGAGGCAGGUAGGGGCGUGUGGAACUCUUGGUGGAGCGGUGGAAUGCGUAGAUAUCAAGAGGAACGCCAGUGGCGAAGGCGACACGCUGGGCUUGUCCUGACGCUGAGAUGCGAAAGCCAGGGGAGCGAACGGGAUUAGAUACCCCCGUA
rnacentral:rRNA from 1 species